AUGUUCAAGCUCGACAUCAAAAAUGCCUUCGACUCGGUUCGUUGGGAUUACCUCAUGGAUUUGUUGCGUCACCAUCAUUUCCCAAGUCGUUUCUGUGAUUGGAUUUCUGCACUACUUUCCACGGCCUCAUCCAGAGUGUUUCUCAAUGGUAUUGCGGGCGACCCUAUGAAGCAUGGCCGUGGACUUCGGUAGGGGGAUCCUCUAUCCCCCCUACUCUUUGUCCUUGCCAUUGACCCCCUCCACCGCAUGCUCUCUAAGGCCACCGAGCAAGGCAACCUUCACCCGUUGCAUGGAAAUCCGAUUCGGGCAUCCCUGUAUGCCAAUGAUGCAGCCAUCUUUGUUGCACCAAUCAAGGUGGACAUCCAGUUCCUUGCCUUGACGCCGAGCUCCUUUGGUGAGGUCACCGGCCUUGUCACCAACUGCAACAAAAGUUUGGUUGUGCCCAUUCGUUGUGCCAACCUCGACCUUGAUGACAUUCUUCAGGCCUUCCCUGCUGUCCGGACCUCUUUUCCUUUGCGGUAA
rnacentral:rRNA from 1 species